CCUACGGGAUGCAGCAGUGGGGAAUAUUGGACAAUGGGCGAAAGCCUGAUCCAGCCAUGCCGCGUGAACGAUGAAGGCCUUAGGGUUGUAAAGUUCUUUUGUCAGGGAAGAUGAUGACGGUACCUGAAGAAUAAGCACCGGCUAACUUCGUGCCAGCAGCCGCGGUAAUACGAAGGGUGCUAGCGUUGUUCGGAAUUACUGGGCGUAAAGCGCGCGUAGGCGGAUAGAUAAGUCAGAGGUGAAAUCCCGGGGCUCAACCCCGGAAUUGCCUUUGAUACUGUUUAUCUUGAGUGCAGAAGAGGUAAGUGGAAUUCCGAGUGUAGAGGUGAAAUUCGUAGAUAUUCGGAGGAACACCAGUGGCGAAGGCGGCUUACUGGUCUGCAACUGACGCUGAGGCGCGAAAGCGUGGGGAGCAAACAGGAUUAGAUACCCGUGUAGUC
rnacentral:rRNA from 1 species